UACGUAGGGUGCGAGCGUUUGUCCGGAAUUAUUGGGCGUAAAGAGCUCGUAGGCGGUUUGUCGCGUCGGCCGUGAAAAACUUGGGGGCUUAACCCCCAAGCUUGCGGUCGAUACGGGCAGACUUGAGUUCGGCAGGGGAGACUGGAAUUCCUGGUGUAGCGGUGAAAUGCGCAGAUAUCAGGAGGAAUACCGGUGGCGAAGGCGGCAUCCUGGACCGAGAUUGACGCUGAUGAGCGAAAGCUAGGGGAGCAAACGGG
rnacentral:rRNA from 1 species